rnacentral:rRNA from 1 species
UCGUCCUUGAACUGCGAAUGGCUCAUUAAAUCAGUUAUCGUUUAUUUUGAUAGUACCUUACUACAUGGAUACCCGUGGUAAUUCUAGAGCUAAUACAUGCUGAAAACCCCGACUUCGGAAGGGGUGUAUUUAUUAGAUAAAAAACCAAUGCCCUCCGGGGCUUCUUGGUGAUUCAUAAUAACUCAACGAAUCGCAUGGCCUUGAGCCGGCGAUGGUUCAUUCAAAUUUCUGCCCUAUCAACUUUCGAUGGUAGGAUAGUGGCCUACCAUGGUAUCAACGGGUAACGGGGAAUUAGGGUUCGAUUCCGGAGAGGGAGCCUGAGAAACGGCUACCACAUCCAAGGAAGGCAGCAGGCGCGCAAAUUACCCAAUCCCGACACGGGGAGGUAGUGACAAUAAAUACUGAUACAGGGCUCUUUUGGGUCUUGUAAUCGGAAUGAGUACAAUUCAAAUCUCUUAACGAGGAACAAUUGGAGGGCAAGUCUGGUGCCAGCAGCCGCGGUAAUUCCAGCUCCAAUAGCGUAUAUUAAAGUUGUUGCAGUUAAAAAGCUCGUAGUUGAACCUUGGGUUCGGCUGGCCGGUCCGCCUAACCGCGUGCACUGGUCUGGCCGGGCCCUUACCUCUGGGGAGCUGCAUGCCCUUCACUGGGCGUGUCAGGGAACCAGGACUUUUACUUUGAAAAAAUUAGAGUGUUCAAAGCAGGCCUUUGCUCGGAUACAUUAGCAUGGAAUAAUAGAAUAGGACGUGCGAUCCUAUUUUGUUGGUUUCUAGGAUUGCCGUAAUGAUUAAUAGGGACAGUCGGGGGCAUCAGUAUUCAGCCGUCAGAGGUGAAAUUCUUGGAUCGGCUGAAGACUAGCUACUGCGAAAGCAUUUGCCAAGGAUGUUUUCAUUAAUCAGGGAACGAAAGUUGGGGGAUCGAAGACGAUCAGAUACCGUCGUAGUCUCAACCGUAAACUAUGCCGACUAGGGAUCGGGCGACGUUCCAAUUUUGACUCGCCCGGCACCUUACGAGAAAUCAAAGUUUUUGGGUUCUGGGGGGGAGUAUGGUCGCAAGGCUGAACUUAAA